rnacentral:rRNA from 1 species
AUUGAACGCUGGCGGAAUGCUUUACACAUGCAAGUCGAGCGGCAGCGCGGGGCAACCUGGCGGCGAGCGGCGAACGGGUGAGUAACACAUCGGAACGUACCUUGUAGUGGGGGAUAACUAUCCGAAAGGAUAGCUAAUACCGCAUACGACCUGAGGGAGAAAGCGGGGGAUCGCAAGACCUCGCGCUGGAAGAGCGGCAGAUGUCCGAUUAGCCAGUUGGUAGGGUAAAGGCCUACCAAGGCGACGAUCGGUAGCGGGGCUGAGAGGACGGCCCGCCACACUGGGACUGAGACACGGCCCAGACUCCUACGGGAGGCAGCAGUGGGGAAUUUUGGACAAUGGGGGCAACCCUGAUCCAGCCAUUCCGCGUGAGUGAAGAAGGCCUUCGGGUUGUAAAGCUCUUUCGGCAGGAACGAAACGGCUCUCUCUAACAUAGGGGGCUAAUGACGGUACCUGAAGAAGAAGCACCGGCUAACUACGUGCCAGCAGCCGCGGUAACAC